GAUGAACGCUGGCGGCGUGCCUAAUACAUGCAAGUCGAGCGAACAGACGAGUAGCUUGCUCCUCUGACGUUAGCGGCGGACGGGUGAGUAACACGUGGAUAACCUACCUAUAAGACUGGGAUAACUUCGGGAAACCGGUGCUAAUUCCGGAUAAUAUAUUGAACCGCAUGUUUCAAUAGUUAAAGACGGUUUUGCUGUCACUUCUCGAUGGAUCCGCGCCGCAUUAGCUAGUUGGUAAGGUAACGGCUUACCAAGGCAACGAUGCGUAGCCGACCUGAGAGGGUGGACGGACACACCGGAACUGAGACAAGGUACAGACUACUACGGGAGGCAGCAGAAGGGAAUGUUACGCAAUGGGCGAAAGCCUGACGGAGCAACGCCGCGUGAGUGAUGAAGGUAUUCGGAUCGUAGAACUCUGUUAUUAGGGAAGAACAAAUGUGUAAGUAACUAGGCACGUCUUGACGGUACCUAAUCAGAAAGCCACGGCUAACUACGUG
rnacentral:rRNA from 1 species